GCCACUGUUUCAGGCCAUGACUUAGCACUUCUGCUACAGGAAUCUUUUCCAGUGACUAUAUUGAGGUCCUGAAGUAUGUAAAGCGUAUGGUCUAAAUAUCACUGCUCUCUACUCUAUGCUCUUCAAUAAAAAGGAUCUUUGGAAAAUCAUACAAGAACGAUGCACAAGAAUUAAAUACUGCACAUUCAUAAAAUUGUUCUAUAUUGAAUCUCAGUGGCAAAUAUGUUCUCAUCCCUAAUAAAAUCAUUGUUAAGAAACAGAAGAACAAAGGGACUACGGAAAAUUCUAAAACCUUCCUUCGAGACAAAAACUGUUUUGUAUGGAAAACCACAAAAGACACAUCUUUGAAGUAUUUGAAGAAAGCAAUCUAACCUAAGAUAACAAAAAGGUUCAGGAAAUCAGCAGAUUUCCUUGAGACAUAUUUUGGUUUUGCUGUUCAAGAUGGAAUCAGAAAAACAGUAGAUUUGCUUCCUCAAGUAACUCAAUAUAUUCAAAGGAAAUACAAUCCAGAGAUGCUAAUUUGUUUUCUGUUCAUCUGGGAACAUCUGUCUACUGGAAAUUAUUUAGCUCCUUAUUUUCACAGAGGUGAAGUCAUGCAUACACAAAAGGGCCACAUGCAUAUGCAUCACAAAGCUGCCAGAGCAAGCAUCAAGGAAGAAAAAGACAGGGGAGGAAAAUCACUCUAGGCAUGGGGACCUGCCCAUAGUAGAGGCUCAGAUCAUGCAUGAGCUUCACUGGCAUUUUCCCAUAGUGCAGGAGAAAGUAGAACCGUAUGAAUUCUGAGAUAAUCACCCAUGGCUGUUUGAUCAAAUUUGACAUAUCUUCUAUCAUUCUUGACAUUCCUGGAAAUUCCUGGAAAACCAGCAGGACCUGCUGGUUUGUGUGCAGUUGCUACAACGUAUGAUUUUAAGCCUUGUGCUUUGCUUCUUACUGUGAAAUUUCAAGCAUUCAAAGUUGUAAAUGGGCCUUGCUGAUGGAACUGUGUCCUGAGAUAAUCACAUUGUUCAAGAUUAAAAAUCUUUUAACGUUUCAACAUUACAGUGUGCACAGAAAGCUUUGAAAGAGUCAUUACUUCUGGUCAACUCGGUAAAAGGAAGAAAUGAGUGACACUUUAGAUAUCAGAAACAUUAUUCAUGAAUAAAAGGACUUGCUAAAAGCCCUUGAGAGAAGAACAGAUUAUAGGCCCCUUGAAAGAGAAUACUAGCUUCCAUUAAAUAAGGCCUUGAAAACAAAUUCAUGUAAUUGAAAUGCUAAGAGCUGAUGACACAGAUAUUUCACAUCAGUAACAUUGGAUGUACGGGUUUCUAAUUUGCACAAGCAUAGAUAUGGAGUCAUAGAUCGCUAUUAGAUAAAGCUUGGAAUUUAUGGAAAGCAUUAUAUCCAGUGGCAUAGUCUGAUUGUAAUAUAACUGCUUUGUAAAACAGUGAGAUAUGGACUCGCAUCUUAAACCAUAAGCCAAAUCUGAUCCUAAAGACAACAACAGCAGGAAAUGUUGGUUCAGCAACCAGCCUGAGAAUGCUUUAGUUAGAUUAACUAGUUCAGAUUUUUAGUUUUCUUGCAAAAUGAGGCUGAGCUGAAUAACAAGCCACACUGCAGCAGACCUACCUCUUUUUAUUGAUAACUGGAGAAUAUGCUGAUUUGUCAAAAUAAGGAAUGCUGCUGGCUAUUCCAGCAGUGUGUUGGAAAAGAGCACAAGGAUUUUUUCUGUUCUGAUAUUCUGACUGCUUUUUCUUGAUUGUGGAGUUUAUUUUUCCUACAAAAUCAUGGUAUACUUACUACCUCACUUCACUUUCUUACACCAGCAAGGAGAGAAAAGUGGUAGGCAAGGAAAAAUUAUAUCUGCAAAAAAGACUCAGGCCCAGUUCUCUUUAACUACAUACCCCUGGAGUAAAGUUAUUGCCUCCAUUGGUGUGAGAUGAUUCAUAUUAUCCAGCUGUUCCUGUUCCUGGUUUAAUAAAGAAAAUUGAGAUAAGCAAGCUAUUUAUAGAAGCCUACCUAAGAUACCUAAGAUACCUAAGGGAAAAGGCAAGUAACUGUGGAUUGCCAUAGAUUUCAAGAUUUGUAAUUUUGGGAUGAAGUUUUUACGUAGCAUAAGAAACACUGCAUAUACUUCAGCUAGGAUAAAACUGUUUUUUAGGCAAAAAUUUGUUUAUGUUUUAGCAAUAAAUCAGUAAAUGAAAUCAUCCUUCGUACUUUUUAUUUCUUGCAACCUCAGAAAUACUUGACAGCAGCGCAUUUUUUCCCCUAGUUUUUUGUUUGUUUGUUUUGUUGUGAAUAAUUUCUUUUAAUUUCUUCUAAUAAAUUUAGAUUGU
ensembl:lncRNA